UUGCUUUGACAGCAAAUAUGUUAAAAUUAGAAUGAUACAGAAAUGAUUAGUAUGACACAGACAUUCAUGAAGCAUUCCAUAUUUUU
rnacentral:snRNA from 1 species